AAGGAGUCUAACAUCUACGCGAGUGUUCGGGUGUCAAACCCGUACGCGCAGUGAAAGCGAACGGAGGUGGGAGCCCCCCCGGGGCGCACCAUCGACCGAUCCUGAUGUCUUCGGAUGGAUUUGAGUACGAGCGUAGCUGUGGGGACCCGAAAGAUGGUGAACUAUGCCUGAAUAGGGUGAAGCCAGAGGAAACUCUGGUGGAGGCUCGCAGCGGUUCUGACGUGCAAAUCGAUCGUCAAAUUUGGGUAUAGGGGCGAAAGACUAAUCGAACCAUCUAGUAGCUGGUUCCUGC
rnacentral:misc_RNA from 1 species